rnacentral:tRNA from 1 species
CGAACUGGGGGGCGACGCCCCAUAAAGGGGUUUACAGCCCCCCGCCUAAGUCAGCCACCUGUCC